rnacentral:rRNA from 1 species
AGUGCAUGUGGUGGAUGCCUUGGCAGUCAGAGGCGAUGAAAGACGUGAUAGCCUGCGAAAAGCUCCGGGGAGGCGGCAAAUAUCCUUUGAUCCGGAGAUGUCUGAAUGGGGGAACCCACCUACUUUAAGGUAGGUAUUGCAACAUGAAUACAUAGUGUUGCAAGGCGAACGAGGGGAAGUGAAACAUCUCAGUACCCUUAGGAAAAGAAAUCAAUUGAGAUUCCCUCAGUAGCGGCGAGCGAACGGGGAUCAGCCCAUUAAGUUAUGUGUGUUUUAGUGGAACGCUCUGGGAAGUGCGAACGUAGAGGGUGAUAUUCCCGUACACGAAAGGGCACACAUAAUGAUGACGAGUAGGGCGAGGCACGUGAAACCUUGUCUGAAUAUGGGGGGACCAUCCUCCAAGGCUAAAUACUCCUGACUGACCGAUAGUGAACCAGUACCGUGAGGGAAAGGCGAAAAGAACCCCUGUGAGGGGAGUGAAAUAGAUCCUGAAACCGCAUGCAUACAAGCAGUGGGAGCACCUUCGUGGUGUGACUGCGUACCUUUUGUAUAAUGGGUCAGCGACUUAUAUUCAGUAGCGAGGUUAACCGUAUAGGGGAGCCGUAGAGAAUCGAGUCUUAAUAGGGCGUUUAGUUGCUGGGUAUAGACCCGAACCAGGCGAUCUAUCCAUGAGCAGGUUGAAAGGUUGGGUAACACAACUGGAGGACCGAACCCACUGUCGUUGAAAAGCCAGGGGAUGACUUGUGGAUAGGGGUGAAAGGCUAAUCAAGCCUGGUGAUAGCUGGUUCUCCCCGAAAGCUAUUUAGGUAGCGCCUCGGACGAAUACCAUAGGGGGUAGAGCACUGUUUCGGCUAGGGGGUCAUCCCGACUUACCAAACCGAUGCAAACUCCGAAUACCUAUGAGUACUAUCCGGGAGACAGACUGCGGGUGCUAACGUCCGUAGUCAAGAGGAAAACAAUCCAGACCGCCAGCUAAGGCCCCAAAAUCAUAGUUAAGUGGGAAACGAUGUGGGAAGGCAUAGACAGCUAGGAGGUUGGCUUAGAAGCAGCCACCCUUUAAAGAAAGCGUAAUAGCUCACUAGUCGAGUCGGCCUGCGCGGAAGAUGUAACGGGGCUAAAACUAUGUGCCGAAGCUGCGGAUGUAUACUUUGUAUACGUGGUAGGGGAGCGUUCUGUAAGCCGAUGAAGGUGUGUUGAGAAGCAUGCUGGAGGUAUCAGAAGUGCGAAUGCUGACGUGAGUAACGACAAAAACGGGUGAAAAACCCGUUCGCCGAAAGACCAAGGGUUCCAGUCCAACGUUAAUCGGGGCUGGGUGAGUCGACCCCUAAGGCGAGGCCGAAAGGCGUAGUCGAUGGGAAAAUGGUUAAUAUUCCAUUACUUCUGUGUAAUGCGAUGAGAGGACGGAGAAGGCUAAAUCAGCCUGGCGUUGGUUGUCCAGGUGAAAGGAUGUAGGCAUGUAUCUUAGGCAAAUCCGGGGUACUCUAUGCUGAGAUCUGAUAGCAAGCUGUACUUGUACAGCGAAGUGGUUGAUGCCAUGCUUCCAGGAAAAGUCUCUAAGCUUCAGUUACACAGGAAUCGUACCCGAAACCGACACAGGUGGUCAGGUCGAGUAGACCAAGGCGCUUGAGAGAACUCUGCUGAAGGAACUAGGCAAAAUGGUACCGUAACUUCGGGAGAAGGUACGCUGUUGUUGGUGAUGGAACUCGCUUCCUGAGCUGACGACAGCCGCAGAAACCAGGCCGCUGCAACUGUUUAUUAAAAACAUAGCACUCUGCAAACACGAAAGUGGACGUAUAGGGUGUGAUGCCUGCCCGGUGCUGGAAGGUUAAUUGAUGGGGUUAGCGUAAGCGAAGCUCUUGAUCGAAGCCCCAGUAAACGGCGGCCGUAACUAUAACGGUCCUAAGGUAGCGAAAUUCCUUGUCGGGUAAGUUCCGACCUGCACGAAUGGCAUAAUGAUGGCGGCGCUGUCUCCAGCAGAGGCUCAGUGAAAUCGAAAUCGCUGUGAAGAUGCAGUGUACCCGCGGCUAGACGGAAAGACCCCGUGAACCUUUACUGCAGCUUGACACUGAACUUUGACCUUACUUGUGUAGGAUAGGUGGGAGGCUUUGAAGCUGGAACGCUAGUUCCAGUGGAGCCGUCCUUGAAAUACCACCCUGGUAAUGUUGAGGUUCUAACUCUGUCCCGUGAUCCGGGACGAGGACCGUGUCUGGUGGGUAGUUUGACUGGGGCGGUCUCCUCCUAAAGAGUAACGGAGGAGUACGAAGGUGCGCUCAGCGUGGUCGGAAAUCACGCGUAGAGUAUAAAGGCAAAAGCGCGCUUAACUGCGAGACCCACAAGUCGAGCAGGUACGAAAGUAGGUCUUAGUGAUCCGGUGGUUCUGUAUGGAAGGGCCAUCGCUCAACGGAUAAAAGGUACUCUGGGGAUAACAGGCUGAUACCGCCCAAGAGUUCAUAUCGACGGCGGUGUUUGGCACCUCGAUGUCGGCUCAUCUCAUCCUGGGGCUGAAGCAGGUCCCAAGGGUAUGGCUGUUCGCCAUUUAAAGAGGUACGCGAGCUGGGUUUAGAACGUCGUGAGACAGUUCGGUCCCUAUCUACCGUGGGCGCUGGAAAUUUGAGAGGAUCUGCUCCUAGUACGAGAGGACCAGAGUGGACGAACCUCUGGUGUACCGGUUGUGACGCCAGUCGCAUCGCCGGGUAGCUAUGUUCGGAAGGGAUAACCGCUGAAAGCAUCUAAGCGGGAAGCCUACCUCAAGAUAAGAUUUCCCUAGGACUUUAUGUCCUCUAAAGAGCCGUUCGAGACUAGGACGUUGAUAGGUUGGAUGUGGAAGCAUAGUGAUAUGUGAAGCUGACCAAUACUAAUUGCUCGUGAGGCUUGACU